GGCCAGGUAGCUCAGUUGGUAGAGCAGAGGACUGAAAAUCCUCGUGUCGGCAGUUCGAUUCUGUCCCUGGCCACCA
rnacentral:tRNA from 1 species